rnacentral:rRNA from 1 species
UCUGGUGACUGUAGCGCAGGUGAAACACCCCAUCCCAUUCCGAACUGGGCCGUGAAAAACUGCAGCGCCAAUGGUACUAUGUCUCAAGGCAUGGGAGAGUCGGUCGUUGCCAGGU